ensembl:lncRNA
GCUGUCUUCAGAUACUCCAGAAGAGGGAAUCGGAUCUGUUUACAAAUGGUUGUGAACUACCAUGUGGUUGCUGGGAAUUGAACUCAGGACCUCUGGAAGAGUGGCUAAGAGACUCUUAACCGCUGAGCCAUCUCUCCAGCCCCCGGACCCAGACCUUCUUAAUAAAGCUUUGAAGCAUCUCAGUGGGAUCAAGGCCACACCAGAUUCUGGGACAGAAUGGGAAAAGAGCAGCAAACACUCUUAACCACUGAGCCAUCCCUUCAGCCCUGUCCAUUUGUAGUUAUUUGUUUAAUGUGUGCAUGUGUGUGUGUGUUUGUGUGUGUGUGUGUGUGUGUGUGUAUGUGUGCAUGUACAUUUGUGUUUCUGUGUAUGUAUGUGUAUUGUAUGUAUGGGUGUGUGUUUGUACAUAUGUGAAUGUGGGUUUCUGUAUAUGUGUGUAUGUGUAUGUGUGUGUGCAGACACAUAGGUGUGGAAGUCAGAGGCCCACCCACAAGAACUGAUUUGGUUAUCUCUUUCUACUCUGUGGGUCCUGGGUAGCUUACUCAGGUCAUCAGCUAUGAACCAGGUGCCUUUGCUCUGAGCCAAUCUUGCCUGCCCAAAAUAGCUACAUUGAAAUUUUUUAAAAAGGAAAAGAAAGCUGCAGCAAAGAACCUGGCACAAGUAUAAUAUUGCAUGUUUCUGGUUUCUUGAGGGUGAACUCCUGGAAUUGCUAGCAUGUUAAAGCUUUCCAAAACUCUACUCAACGCAGACAUGUACAAAAGGAACUAUUUACCCAGCCUCUUGCCAACAAUGUUUGCAUGAAGUUAACCCUAAAGAAAAACAACAGUCCAAUACAGGCAGAGUCCUGCAACGGACCUUUAUCUCCAUCACAUACACUUUGAGAUGUGGCCAGGUUGAUCCCAUCCAGCAGACUGAAACAUUAAAGCUCCAGGUUCCAUAAAACGUGGUUGCCGAGGAAGACUAGAGGAAUGGCGUUCACUCCCCUUGAAAGGCAGCUCACUAUCCCUGCAUUCCCACAGUACUUUGCCCAAAACAGAGCUUUCUUCGCCACACCAUUGGUGACUGACUCUUGUCCGUCUCUUUUUAUCAUACUAUGAAUGUUGCCUUUAUCGAUCCAGCACCAAGGACAGAGCCAGACCACAGUAGGUGCUCUGAUAAAAGUGGUCGAGUUGUGAUCCUGGGGCUUACCAUAAAGGGGGAAACUGAGGCUCGGAGAAGAGAGAAUUGCUUGCCCAGGCAACCAAGGGACGGUGGGAGUCAAGCUCUAUCAUAGAGGGUGGUCACACUUUCAAGCCUGUAUCACUUACUGCUUCGUUCAUCUCCAUCUUUGCCUUCUUGACCCAGCAGCCCAGCACAGUGCCUGGCACCGGCAGGACUUGAUAAAUGCCUGUUUGUUGAAAGAAUGAAUGAAUAUGUGUUAUCUGUUGGGAAAUGGAGGAGGGGUGGCAAGCUGGAUCCAAAGUCCCAGGCUUGUAGCCCCCUCCUUCUCUGAGGGUCCAAAAGACAAGCCUUCAGUCCUUUCCCUUCCCGAGAUCCAGGAGCCGCACCGCCCUCCUCUGCCCCCCAAGGUCCCUGGCCC